GCUUUAAUCUUUUCUCUCUAUGGGUUCACUGAGCGGUCUAUAACUUUGAUAUUGUGUGUGGGCCACCUAUGUUUGCCCACAAACAACCUGUAUCCACCCAUGGGGGCAGCUGUGACUAAGGCAUUAGGAUGUGGCCACUUCUCUCUAUGACACCUCAAUAACCCACCAUACCCAUACUGGUUCAUGUGACUGAAGCUAUAGCAAUUAAUGCUGAAUUUGUCCUUUUAAAUGUUUGAAGUUUGUUUCUAUUUUUUCUGUGAAGGUACACUCCGAUCAGACCUACACAUCUACAUCAUUUCUGGCGUUCUAGCACUGGUUUUGGCUGCUGCCUUCUUCAUAAUCUACAGAAGAUAUUCAGGUGGGACAAGUGACAACGGGCCAGCCACCAAUGCACAAGAGUGUGUAACCCUAAAUCAACAAGCAGAAUCCCAAGAAGAAUCUGUAGUCUGAGCCCGUUUUCUCAAUCUGGGAUUUUGACAUUCAUGAGAGCUGUAUUGACUCCAAGAGGGCGGAGCAAAGCGAGCAUGCUGGCGACACCGCAGUCGCACUUGACUUUCAGGCGUUUGAGGAAGUCGCUGCUGUUUACUGGUGAAGCAAAGUGCGUCACUGAACUGAGAGCCACUGACUUCUCCUAAAGCAGGACUUUUCCAGUAGUGGGGGCAGAACAUUCUGAAGUAUACUGGAAAUCUGUAUAAGGCAGUGACCUUAAACUAUACUGUGAAUAAAAUUUCACAGACGAA